rnacentral:tRNA from 1 species
CGGGACGUAGCGCAGUUUGGCAGCGCGCAGCGUUCGGGACGCUGAGGUCGCGGGUUCGAGUCCCGCCGUCCCGA